rnacentral:tRNA from 1 species
CGGGCUAUUAGCUCAGUGGUAGAGCGCGCCCCUGAUAAGGGCUAUUAGCUCAGUGGUAGAGCGCGCCCCUGAUAAUUGCG